UACGGAAGGCAGCAGUGGGGAAUAUUGCACAAUGGGCGCAAGCCUGAUGCAGCCAUGCCGCGUGUAUGAAGAAGGCCUUCGGGUUGUAAAGUACUUUCAGUCGUGAGGAAGGUGUUAAGGUUAAUAACCUUAGCAAUUGACGUUAGCGACAGAAGAAGCACCGGCUAACUCCGUGCCAGCAGCCGCGGUAAUACGGAGGGUGCGAGCGUUAAUCGGAAUUACUGGGCGUAAAGGGCACGCAGGCGGUUAAUUAAGUUGGAUGUGAAAUCCCCGGGCUUAACCUGGGAAAUGGCAUUCAAGACUGGUUAGCUAGAGUCUUGUAGAGGGGGUAGAAUUCCAUGUGUAGCGGUGAAAUGCGUAGAGAUGUGGAGGAAUAUCGGUGGCGAAAGGCGGCCCCUGGACAAAAGACUGACGCUCAUGUGCGAAAGCGUGGGGAGCGAAACAGGAUUAGAUACC
rnacentral:rRNA from 1 species